rnacentral:rRNA from 1 species
CCUACGGGAGGCAGCAGUGAGGAAUAGUGGGCAAUGGAGGAAACUCUGACCCAGCAACGCCGCGUGAAGGAUGAAGGUUUUCGGAUUGUAAACUUCUGUCGCGAGGGAUGAAGAAUGACGGUACCUCGUAAGAAAGCCCCGGCAAACUACGUGCCAGCAGCCGCGGUAAUAAGUAGGGGGCGAGCGUUGUCCGGAAUGACUGGGCGUAAAGGGAGGGUAGGCGGCAUAUUAAGUUAUGUGUGAAAGCCCGCGGCUCAACCGCGGAAUUGCACAUAAAACUGGUAAGCUGGAGUGCAGGAGAGGUAAGUGUACUUCCCGGUGUAGCGGUUGAAUGCGUCGAUAUCGGGAGGAACACCAGCGGCGACGGCGCCUUACUGGACUGUAACUGCCGCUGUGGCUC